rnacentral:rRNA from 1 species
GACGAACCGAGCGAACGUUAUUCGGAAUCACUGGGCUUAAAGGGUGCGUAGGCGGGCACGCGAGUCAGGGGGUGAAAUCCCACGGCCCAACCGUGGAAGUGCCUCUGAUACUGCCGGCCUCGAGGGGGAUAGGGGGCGUGCGGAACUCAGGGUGGAGCGGUGAAAUGCGUAGAUAUCCUGAGGAACACCGGUGGCGAAGGCGGGUCUCUGGGCCGUAACUGACGCUGAGGAGCGAAAGCGUGGGGAGCAAACAGG